UGGGGAAUUUUGGACAAUGGGCGAAAGCCUGAUCCAGCAAUGCCGCGUGUGUGAAGAAGGCCUUCGGGUUGUAAAGCACUUUUGUCCGGAAAGAAAUCCUCUGGGUUAAUACCUCGGGGGGAGUGACGGUACCGGAAGAAUAAGCACCGGCUAACUACGUGCCAGCAGCCGCGGUAAUACGUAGGGUGCAAGCGUUAAUCGGAAUUACUGGGCGUAAAGCGUGCGCAGGCGGUUUUGUAAGACGGAUGUGAAAUCCCCGGGCUUAACCUGGGAACUGCAUUCGUGACUGCAAGGCUAGAGUAUGGCAGAGGGGGGUAGAAUUCCACGUGUAGCAGUGAAAUGCGUAGAGAUGUGGAGGAAUACCGAUGGCGAAGGCAGCCCCCUGGCAAGUACUGACGCUCAUGCACGAAAGCGUGGGGGAGCAAACAGGAUUAGAUACCCCUGGUAGUCCACGCCCUAAACGAUGUCAACUAGUUGUUGGGGGAUUCAUUUUCCUUAGUAACGUAGCUAACGCGUGAAGUUGACCGCCUGGGGAGUACGGUCGCAAGAUUAAAACUCAAAUGAAUUGACGGGGUCAUAGCUGUUU
rnacentral:rRNA from 1 species